GACGAACGCUGGCGGCGUGCCUAAUACAUGCAAGUCGAACGCUUCUUUCCUCCCGAGUGCUUGCACUCAAUUGGAAAGAGGAGUGGCGGACGGGUGAGUAACACGUGGGUAACCUACCCAUCAGAGGGGGAUAACACUUGGAAACAGGUGCUAAUACCGCAUAACAGUUUAUGCCGCAUGGCAUAAGAGUGAAAGGCGCUUUCGGGUGUCGCUGAUGGAUGGACCCGCGGUGCAUUAGCUAGGUGGUGAGGUAACGGCUCACCAGGGCCACGAUGCAUAGCCGACCUGAGUGGGUGAUCGGCCACCCUGGGACUUAGCCACGGCCCAGACUCCUACGGGAGGCAGCAGUAGGGAAUCUUCGGCAAUGGACGAAAGUCUGACCGAGCAACGCCGCGUGAGUUAAGAAGGUUUUCGGAUCGUAAAACUCUGUUGUUAGUGAAGAACAAGGACGUUAGUAACUGAACGUCCCCUGACGGUAUCUAACCAGAAAGCCACGGCUAACUACGUG
rnacentral:rRNA from 1 species